AAUGAACGUUGGCGGCGUGGAUUAGGCAUGCAAGUCGAGCGUGUACCCCGCAAGGGGGAAAGCGGCGUAAGGGAGAGUAAUACGUAGAUACGUGCCUCCGGGUCUGGGAUAGCCACGGGAAACUGUGGGUAAUACCGGAUAAUGUCUGAGGACCAAAGGUGUGAUUCCACCUGGAGAUCGGUCUGCGUCCUAUCAUGCUUGUUGGUGAGGUAACGGCUCACCAAGGCUACGACGGGUACGGGGAGUGAGAGCUUGCCCCCGCUCACUGGGACUGAGACACUGCCCAGACACCUACGGGUGGCUGCAGUCGAGGAUCUUCGGCAAUGGGCGCAAGCCUGACCGAGCGACGCCGCGUGCGGGAUGAAGGCCUUCGGGUUGUAAACCGCUGUCAGUGGGGAGGAAGGCUCCGUGAAGAACGGGGUUUGACCUAUCCGCAGAGGAAGUGUGGGCUAAGUUCGUGCCAGCCGCCGCAGUAA
rnacentral:rRNA from 1 species